AGUGAACGCUGGCGGUAGGCCUAACACAUGCAAGUCGAACGGCAGCACAGUAAGAGCUUGCUCUUACGGGUGGCGAGUGGCGGACGGGUGAGGAAUACAUCGGAAUCUACUUUUUCGUGGGGGAUAACGUAGGGAAACUUACGCUAAUACCGCAUACGACCUACGGGUGAAAGCAGUGGAUCUUCGGACUUUGCGCGAUUGAUUGAGCCGAUGUCGGAUUAGCUAGUUGGCGGGGUAAAGGCCCACCAAGGCGACGAUCCGUAGCUGGUCUGAGAGGAUGAUCAGCCACACUGGAACUGAGACACGGUCCAGACUCCUACGGGAGGCAGCAGUGGGGAAUAUUGGACAAUGGGCGCAAGCCUGAUCCAGCCAUACCGCGUGGGUGAAGAAGGCCUUCGGGUUGUAAAGCCCUUUUGUUGGGAAAGAAAAGCAGCAGGUUAAUACCCCGCUGUUCUGACGGUACCCAAAGAAUAAGCACCGGCUAACUUCGUG
rnacentral:rRNA from 1 species